rnacentral:rRNA from 1 species
GACGAACGCUGGCGGCGUGCUUAACACAUGCAAGUCGAACGGAAAGGCCCUGCUUUUGUGGGUGCUCGAGUGGCGAACGGGUGAGUAACACGUGAGUAACCUGCCCUUGACUUUGGGAUAACUUCAGGAAACUGGGGCUAAUACCGGAUAGGAGCUCCUGCUGCAUGGUGGGGGUUGGAAAGUUUCGGCGGUUGGGGAUGGACUCGCGGCUUAUCAGCUUGUUGGUGGGGUAGUGGCUUACCAAGGCUUUGACGGGUAGCCGGCCUGAGAGGGUGACCGGCCACAUUGGGACUGAGAUACGGCCCAGACUCCUACGGGAGGCAGCAGUGGGGAAUAUUGCACAAUGGGCGGAAGCCUGAUGCAGCAACGCCGCGUGCGGGAUGGCGGCCUUCGGGUUGUAAACCGCUUUCGCCUGUGACGAAGCGUGAGUGACGGUAAUGGGUAAAGAAGCACCGGCUAACUACGUG